UUACAACGAUACAAUAACGAUAAUAUGAUAAAUUGUCGACGGGAUAUGAAAACCGUAAUCGUAAUAUUGAAAUUUUCUAAUUUCGCCGCGUGUGUGUAUGUGUGUGUGUGUGUGUGUGUGUGUGUGUGUGUAUAUGUGUGUAGGUAAA